UCUUGAUUUUAUAUGUUAUUUUGAUUAUUAUGGUCUGGAUAGUUUAUAUAUAUUGUAAUACCAUAAAAGAUGAAUAUUAAUGCAAUUCAUUUUCUGUAUAGAAAUUGAAUGAAAUAUUUUUUUUCCAAUGUGAUAUUGUGUGAUAAUGAUGACAUGUACAUUGUGUGGAAAUGUAGCAUUUAAUAUGUAAUUUCAAGUGCCCCUAAAGAUCAUUAAUGAUGUGAAUUGCAACUAUGAUCUGUAUCAUGCUGGCUGUUGAUUAAUGCCUUACAUUGUCUGCUUAUAGAGUUUGAACCAGGUUUUUAGU